CGCGGGUUAGUGCAAGGGCAACACGCGAGGCUCUGAACCUCGAAGACCACGUUCGACUCGUGGACCCGCAACCA
rnacentral:tRNA from 16 species